rnacentral:rRNA from 1 species
GAUGAACGCUGGCGGCGUGCCUAAUACAUGCAAGUCGAGCGAACGGACGAGAAGCUUGCUUCUCUGAUGUUAGCGGCGGACGGGUGAGUAACACGUGGAUAACCUACCUAUAAGACUGGGAUAACUUCGGGAAACCGGAGCUAAUACCGGAUAAUAUUUUGAACCGCAUGGUUCAAAAGUGAAAGACGGUCUUGCUGUCACUUAUAGAUGGAUCCGCGCUGCAUUAGCUAGUUGGUAAGGUAACGGCUUACCAAGGCAACGAUGCAUAGCCGACCUGAGAGGGAGAUCGGCCACACUGGAACUGAGACCCGGUCCAGACUCCUACGGGAGGCAGCAGUAGGGAAUCUUCCGCAAGGGGCGAAAGCCUGACGGAGCAACGCCGCGUGAGUGAGGAAGGUCUUCGGAUCGUAAAACUCUGUUAUUAGGGAAGAACAAAUGUGUAAGUAACUGUGCACGUCUUGACGGUACCUAAUCAGAAAGCCACGGCUAACUACGUG